rnacentral:tRNA from 1 species
GGAAAUAGCUCAGUGGUAAAGAGCAUGCUUAGUGGGUAUGAGGUCUUGGGUUCAAUUCCCAGUACUUCCA